rnacentral:rRNA from 1 species
CCUACGGGGGGCAGCAGGCGAGAAACCUUUGCAAUGUGCGAAAGCACGACAAGGUUAAUCCGAGUGUCUCCUGCUAAAGGAGUCUUUUGUCAGUUGUAGAAUCACUGGUGAAUAAGGGGUGGGCAAGUUCUGGUGUCAGCCGCCGCGGUAAAACCAGCACCUCGAGUGGUCAGGAGGUUUAUUGGGCCUAAAGCAUCCGUAGCCGGUUGCAUAAGUUUUCGGUUAAAUCUAUGCGCUUAACGUAUAGGCCGCCGAAAAUACUGUGCAGCUAGGGAGUGGGAGAGGUACACGGUACUCGAUAGGAAGGGGUAAAAUCCUUUGAUCUAUUGAUGACCACCUGUGGCGAAGGCGGUGUACCAGAACACGUUCGACGGUGAGGGAUGAAAGCUGGGGGAGCAAACCGGAUUAGAUACCCUGGUAGUC